rnacentral:rRNA from 1 species
AGAACGAACGCUGGCGGCGUGCCUAACACAUGCAAGUCGAACGUGAUCCAGGCUUCGGCCUGGUGAAAGUGGCAGACGGGUGAGUAACGCGUGGGAACCUGCCCUGUGGUAGGGAAUAACCGUGGGAAACUGCGGCUAAUACCCUAUGAGUCCUUCGGGAGAAAGAUUUAUCGCCAUAGGAGGGGCCCGCGUCGGAUUAGGUAGUUGGUGGGGUAACGGCCUACCAAGCCUUCGAUCCGUAGCUGGUCUGAGAGGAUGAUCAGCCACACUGGGACUGAGAUACGGCCCAGACUCCUACGGGAGGCAGCAGUGGGGAAUAUUGGACAAUGGGCGCAAGCCUGAUCCAGCCAUGCCGCGUGAGUGAUGAAGGCCCUAGGGUUGUAAAGCUCUUUUGUGCGGGAAGAUAAUGACGGUACCGCAAGAAUAAGCCCCGGCUAACUUCGCGCCAGCAGCCGC